rnacentral:rRNA from 1 species
GAUGAACGCUGGCGGCGUGCCUAACACAUGCAAGUCGAACGGAAACACAGUGAGAUUGUUCUUUUGAGGGUGGCGGGUGGCGGGUGUGUAACGCGUGCAUCACCCACCUAUUUUUCGGGGAGAACCACGUAAAGCCGGAUAAGAUACUACAUAAUAUGGUCUACGGCUGGGAGCAGGAGAUAAGGGCAGUUUUGGUGUGUGAUUGACACGAUGGCGCAUUAGCUAGUUGGGGGGGUAAGGGCCCACCAAGGCGACGAAGCGUUGCCGAUCUGACAGGAUGAUCGGCCACACUGGAACUGAGACACGGUCCAGACUCCUACGGGAGGCAGCAGUGGGGAAUUUUGGGCAAUGGGCGCAAGCCUGAACGAGCGAUGCCGCGUGGGUGAAGAAGGCCUUCGGGUCGUAAAGCUCUGUUAUUGGGGAAGAAAAGCUGCAGAAGUAACCAUGGCUGUGUUGACGGUACCGAAUGAAGAAGCACCGGCUAACUACGUG